UCGGUCACAUCACAUUGAAACACCAGUUCCCGUACGAUCAUAGAUGUUAAGCAACGUCGAAACUGGUCAGUGCCUAGAUGGGUGACCGCUUGGGAAAACCAGCUGGUGU